rnacentral:rRNA from 1 species
ACUCCUACGGGAGGCAGCAGUGGGGAAUCUUGGUCAAUGGGCGCAAGCCUGAACCAGCGAUGCCGCGUGAGUGAUGAAGGCCUUCGGGUUGUAAAGCUCUUUUGCCCGGGAAGAUAAUGACGGUACCGGGAGAAUAAGCCCCGGCAAACUUCGUGCCAGCAGCCGCGGUAAU